rfam:Klebsiella pneumoniae subsp. pneumoniae DSM 30104 Contig0008, whole genome shotgun sequence.
UCGUGUAGCUAAUGUGGGUGUGUGGUGAAUCCCCCUGUGCGGUGGGGCGACCAGUCAAUUUUUUCUUUGAGCACACACGCGGGUCUGUUGACUGGGGCAGACUUACCGGGAGGCACCCGGCACCACACAUACUGCAUAACCCCCUAAAGGCCUUCCAUUGCGGCAGGCCUUUUAUCUUGC